rnacentral:tRNA from 1 species
AAAUUUUUUAUUCAAUAAUGAUUUUAAAUUGCAAAUUUAAAGGUAACUUUUUAGUUAAAAAUU